GAGUGAAGUGAAGGAAAGCUGAGCACUCCUUGGGAGAGGCCAGGGAAGUUGUACGGAGGAGCCAAAGCCGGAAGUACCCAAUACCCAUUCCCUGUCGUUGCUCUUGGGCCUGCACUGUGCGCAAUCCCGUGGUGCAGACCUGGAAGUUGCGGGGACGCGAAAACUCCCUGGAGCCGCAGUCGCCGCGGGGCGACCUGGGAAAGUCAGCAGCGCAGUGGUGGAAACCGCAGCCCAGCGGCCCUGGAACCUCCCAGGGCUCACCGAUCACACGGACCUGGUUCUCUGUGGAACAGAACAAAGAGGCCAGGAAGAUGGAGAGAGAGCAGACAGUAGCUAAGGAUCCAGAUGACACUGCAGAGCCAACCAAUAGCAUCAUGGGAGAGGAAGACAAACAGCUCGGUGUACUACAGCAGCAGAUCCAGACCCUGCCCAAUAGCAAUGACCCUGUCAAUGUCAUCAAAAGACCACAGAGGUCUGCUGCAGACUAGACAGCCUC